rnacentral:rRNA from 1 species
UACGUAGGGUGCGAGCGUUAUUCGGAUUUACUGGGCGUAAAGCGCGUGUAGGCGGCUAUGCAAGUCGGAUGUGAAAGUCCUCGGCUCAACCGGGGAAGUGCACCCGAAACUGCAAAGCUAGAGUCUCGGAGAGGAUCGUGGAAUUCUCGGUGUAGAGGUGAAAUUCGUAGAUAUCGAGAGGAACACCGGUGGCGAAGGCGGCGAUCUGGACGAUGACUGACGCUGAGACGCGAAAGCGUGGGGAGCAAACAGG